rnacentral:rRNA from 1 species
GAUGAACGCUGGCGGCGUGCUUAACACAUGCAAGUCGAACGGGAAACCUUUUAUUGAAGCUUCGGCAGAUUUAGCUGGUUUCUAGUGGCGGACGGGUGAGUAACGCGUGGGUAACCUGCCCUAUACAGGGGGAUAACAACCAGAAAUGGUUGCUAAUACCGCAUAAGCGCACAGGACCGCAUGGUCCGGUGUGAAAAACUCCGGUGGUAUAGGAUGGACCCGCGUUGGAUUAGCCAGUUGGCAGGGUAACGGCCUACCAAAGCGACGAUCCAUAGCCGGCCUGAGAGGGUGAACGGCCACAUUGGGACUGAGACACGGCCCAGACUCCUACGGGAGGCAGCAGUGGGGAAUAUUGCACAAUGGGGGAAACCCUGAUGCAGCGACGCCGCGUGAAGGAAGAAGUAUCUCGGUAUGUAAAACUUCUAUCAGCAGGGAAGAUAGUGACGGUACCUGACUAAGAAGCCCCGGCUAACUACGUGCCAGC